rnacentral:rRNA from 1 species
AACGCGAAGAACCUUACCUGGGUUUGACAUCCCCAGACAGCCCUAGAGAUAGGGUUUUCCCUUCGGGGACUGGGAGACAGGUGCUGCAUGGCUGUCGUCAGCUCGUAUCGUGAGAUGUCGGGUUAAGUCCCUUAACGAGCGCAACCCUUAUCCUUAGUUGCCACCAUUUAGUUGGGCACUCUAUGGAGACUGCCGGCGUUAAGCCGGAGGAAGGCGGGGAUGACGUCAAGUCCUCAUGGCCUUUAUAUCCAGGGCUACACACGUGCUACAAUGGCCAGUACAGAGGGUCGCCAACCCGCGAGGGGGAGCUAAUCCCAUAAAGCUGGUCUCAGUUCGGAUUGAAGUCUGCAAUUCGACUUCAUGAAGCUGGAAUCGCUAGUAAUCGCGGAUCAGAACGCCGCGGUGAAUACGUUCCCGGGCCUUGUACACACCGCUACAGU